GUCUGUGCCAGGGUCAAGUCUGUACUGAUUUUCAUGGUGACUAGAUUACAUGCUCGCAUUCAUGUUCACUUCCGAAGCGCUUCCUUCCUUCCUUCCCUCCCCCCCCCCCCCAAAUCCAUAUUAACCUCAGAUACCC
rnacentral:lncRNA from 1 species